ACUUGAUCCCAGCGUGACCACUUGAAGUGGGGAGGCGGGGCGGGGUGUGACCGGAGCGACACUUAAUGGUUAACUAACGCUGAUGUUGAAACUCCGAGAUGAAGUCUUGUGCUGGUGAGGAUAGAUCAUCUCCUACUGGAGGUGCAUUAGGGUGAGAUGGGAGCCCCAGAUUAGCGUCUAUUACCGUGCCAGAAAUGACGUACUACCACUUUCCCCGACCCGCUUUUUUGGGGUCUUGCUUAACAGUCAGUGGCGCUAACUAUUCAGUCCAGAGUUGCACCGCCGGAUGGCGCUCCAGUAACGCUACAAAAUGAGAAGCGUUUCCACGGGCGUUUCCUAUUUUACAAGGACCCAGAUGAAAGCAGCUCCAUGCAUCUCCAUGGCGACGCAGUUUUGAUGGAGGGUCCUCCUAUCAUUAGCCGAAUCAUCAGGAGGAGAAUGUGGACGGACGGAUGGACGAAGAUCCCAUUCUAGAUGGGGGACGAGACAAUAUUCUAUCUGACAGCACUUCAAUCCGAAUUUGACCUGAUCGUCGCACAAUGGAUGCCAAAGUGUCUCGAUAGCAACAGCCCACUCCCGAUGGGAAACGUUUGGCCGUGAACUCACCAGCUCGUCUAGAACCACCACAUCAGGCUCACGCUGCAAAUGGCCAUCAGCGGCAGCGAAAGCGAACAGCGUUGACCCCCUGAAAGGCAGCAACAAAGCAAUUUGGUUUGACCCCUGCUGGACCCGAAGGCAUGCAACGCACACAUACACACAGGUUCCAAAAUAAUAUCGGCUCAAACAUUUGCAGUCGGACUCCAUCCAUGGCAUUGGUCGAGCGCGCGCGCGGCAAGAAGGAAAGCGACUCACCGCGAGCAGUGACUAUGACUGUGAAAGUCUUCUCCUCAGCCUUUCCAUCUUUGGGUGUCAUGGUGACCUUGUACUUGCCCUUGUCUGUAAAACCAAGCUGGACGAUAGUCAGAUCUCCACGGGUCUGGUCAAACACGAACUUUGGGUUGUAAAGAACCCCCUUGGUGACUUUCCAAGUGUCUGCAGUUGGGUUCUUAAGGGACUUGGACAGCGCGCCUGCAUCGACCUUGGCCUGGGUUGGGGCCUUGGUCGGGGCCUUGGUCGGCCUUGGUCGGGGCCUUGAUCGGGGCCUCGGUCACGGCCUUGGUCGCGGCCCCGUCAGCGGACUGGCCGGAUUCGGUCUUGCCGUAGGUGAGAAUCUUGCCAUUGUCCAUUUUUUCCCAGACGACAUUUGUGUAGUCAUCCAGCUUAGUCUUGCAAUGGUAACAUUGCCACCUGCUUCGCCCUUGAUUUCUUUGUCUGCUGCUGCUGCUGUUGAAAACAAAGCACAAGUUACUUUUUACCAGCAGUUCCACAAUAAUCAUUGUCACAGCACACCUCGUGAGUUUCUCUUGUCUGCAUCAUGGAUCAUCUAUCUCAUUAACGGCAUUUCAUUCGAGAGGUCAAACCUCCGUCUUGUUUUCAAAUACGUAAGUUACCAGCAAGCGGAAGGGAGAUCAGGAGCGCCCACAUCAGCCGAGCCAUCUUGCUGGUCAUCCUUUUCUUCUGCUGAUUGAGGAAGAAGCGCGAGUAAGAAGCACACUUUGCCCGAGCAAGCGAGGUAAGGUGCACCAGAGUUAGUACUCGGCCGUCGAUGGGACUUUGCUUUCAGUCUCAGCUCAGGCGUACCCACAAUGCUUGGCCUACAAAGAAAAGGACAUCCGCCCUUUGGAAAUGACACGGCGCUUGCAAAUGUCAUGCGCGCAUCACUAAGACGCAAAGGGAUCAAAUGCAAAGCUUUGAGAGGAAAUCUGCAACUCCAUAGGACGUGUGCUCACCAAGGACGGCAUGUGGCUGCCAGGCCUCUCCCGCUACGGAACGGGAUGGGCGACUCAAUCGUCUGAGACGUCAUUGGUUGUCAAAGCACAAAUCUCCCAACGGGAAGGAGGGGAAGCAAAAUGGCCGCUCAAAGAGUCAAAGAGGGCCAGAGCGGCAAAGAGACAAAGGGGUUCUUUGGCGUUUGGGCUGGAGACAUGCGUGACCUUAAGGUUACGACCGUCGAUUGCAUCGCGGUGCCUUUAUAUUACCUUACGCAAGCAACACUUUGACUUUGAUCCAAAGUGGAACGCGGGGCGGAUCUGGCGAGCUCGAUGACAACAUGAGCGUGUGCAAGCCCGAAACAACGCUCUGAGAAAAUGAGCUAACAUGACACCAUGACGAUGAAAACAGUUUCCAUAGCCACUUUUCUUCUUUUCCACCAGUACGACUUCUCCGUUCUGUACUGAUAAGAAGGACUGAUACUUUGGCUACGGCAAAGUUCCCCCGCCCAAAAAUGCAAGAAAAUUGUGACUAAAGAAACCUGCAUUCACCAAUUGAGAUAUUUUGCUUAUCAUUGCGCAACAUUGAUGGCAAUUUUUCCCAUUCUCAUUCCAAUUUCUGGUUGGAAAAAGAACGACCACAAGAUGGCGCUCGAUACUGUCCCGUUGAGGUGGAGGCGGCCAACCGAGCCAACUUUAUUGACAUGAACAGGAAUUGUUCAUCAAAGUCUGUCUGCUUCUCCUGCCGAUUCGUUUUCAUUGAUACAACACGCACACGCAUGGACGCACACAGCAGACAACCUCGAGGGGAUAUUAUUAUCAUACAUAUGUGAUGAUAUUAUUAUAAACCAUCAAGAUUGGGUCAAGCAAUCAUUUACAAAUUAUGGAAAUAUAGUUUUGGGAUAUUUGUUUAUGAUCUUGGAGACAAAUUAAAAUAAACCCAUUUUGGAUGCAAUAA